UAGUGAGUGAUGACAGUUUAGGUUCAGACACUGGGUCAGACCUUGUGAUGACAGUUUAGGUUCAGACACUGGGUGAGACCGAGUGAUGACAGUUUAGGUUCAGACACUGGGUGAGACCGAGUGAUGACAGUUUAGGUUCAGACACUGGGUCAGACCUAGUGAUGACAGUUUAGGUUCAGACACUGGGUGAGACCGAGUGAUGACAGUUUAGGUUCAGACACUGGGUGAGACCGAGUGAUGACAGUUUAGGUUCAGACACUGGGUGAGACCGAGUGAUGACAGUUUAGGUUCAGACACUGGGUGAGACCGAGUGAUGACAGUUUAGGUUCAGACACUGGGUCAGACCGAGUGAUGACAGUUUAGGUUCAGACACUGGUUGAGAUAUUGUUUGAAGCAUGAUCGCCUGUCUGGAACCAAAAUUUAAAAAUGCUAUUGGAUUCAGGUGGUGCUUAGUUAAUGCUCAUGUGUAUGGUAUAUCCAGAUGG